rnacentral:rRNA from 1 species
AGAGUUUGAUCAUGGCUCAGGACGAACGCUGGCGGCGUGCCUAAUACAUGCAAGUCGAGCGGAUCUGAUGAGGUGCUUGCACCUCUGAUGGUUAGCGGCGGACGGGUGAGUAACACGUAGGCAACCUGCCCUCAAGACCGGGAUAACAUUCGGAAACGAAUGCUAAGACCGGAUACGCAAGUCUAUCGCAUGAUGGAUUU